rnacentral:rRNA from 1 species
CGUCCUGAAAUCGAGGGGGAUUUUGGAUUCAGGUGUAGCGUUCGGUAAGGCUGGGCCGCCUCUCGUGCAGACGUUGCGGGUCGCCCGCGUGCGAGUUCUUCGCGCGCGGUGUCGCUCCCGCGAUCGCUCGCCGGGUUGGCGUAGUUACCCAGGCCGUGGCACCGCACUUCCUCCCCAGUAGAUGCGUCGCGGCUCGUUGGGACUGAACCGGUCUGAAGGCCCGGGAUGGCAGCCCGCAGCCCCCUUUGCGCCUGACCGCGCAGGGGCUCGGACUCCCGGUCGCCCGGCCGUGGCCCGACGGUAUGACCAGAGGAGACGAUCCGCUUUGUUGAGAAUGUGUUGUGAAGCGUCCGUGACUGGCUGCGUGGAGUGGCUGGGUGUGAACCUUGAACGUGCAGGGUGGGGUGUCCGUGCGAGUCACGGCACCUAGACCCCCGCUCGUCCGCAGACCCGUAUUCUCGGACGGGAUCGAGCCUCCCGCCUGCGGCGCCAUCCUUCGGAUGGUCUCCCG